rnacentral:rRNA from 1 species
AUUGAACGCUGGCGGCAUGCCUUACACAUGCAAGUCGAACGGUAACAGGUCUUCGGAUGCUGACGAGUGGCGAACGGGUGAGUAAUACAUCGGAACGUGCCCAGACGUGGGGGAUAACGAGGCGAAAGCUUUGCUAAUACCGCAUACGAUCUAAGGAUGACAGCAGGUGACCGCAAGGCCUUGUGCGUUUGGAGCGGCCGAUGGCAGAUUAGGUAGUUGGUGGGAUAAAAGCUUACCAAGCCGACGAUCUGUAGCUGGUCUGAGAGGACGACCAGCCACACUGGGACUGAGACACGGCCCAGACUCCUACGGGAGGCAGCAGUGGGGAAUUUUGGACAAUGGGCGAAAGCCUGAUCCAGCAAUGCCGCGUGCAGGAUGAAGGCCUUCGGGUUGUAAACUGCUUUUGUACGGAACGAAAAGGCUCUGGCUAAUACCUGGGGCACAUGACGGUACCGUAAGAAUAAGCACCGGCUAACUACGUG